CUUAGCCCGAGAUAAACCUCUCUGAGACCCUGAAGAAUUCCUCAUUUCGCUCGUCGAAGAGUUUGGGAAGAAAAAGUUGCAGAGAUGGGUGGAGAUGCAGGAUCUAAAGUUCUUCGAUUAUUCUCAUUGGGCGAUGGAGUUAUCUGUACAUCUGCAAUUAAUCUUUAUCGUGAUAUUGAGAGGAAAAAGUUAACACAGAAACAGAUUGCUGAGGAAAUUGUUGAAAAGGGGAAUAUGGUAAACAAAGCUACUGCCGAGUAAACAGAUUAGGGUUGUAGGGUUUCUAUUUUAAAUGGAAGUAGUAAUUUGUUGCUGUGGUGGUUUGCUUUUGGUAUAAUAUGUACUGAGAAAUAAGGGGUUUUGAUCAAUCUUUUCUGUCAUUAGAUUUUGGGUAUGAUGUUUACUGUUUACAUUAAGAAUUUCCAUAACCUCAAAUGAACACCAAUUAACACCAAAAUUAGCUUAUGUUAACACCAAUUAUGUAAAUUGGGUAUGAUGUUUACUGUUUACAUUAUGUAAAUUAGCUUGGAAAUUUUCAUAA